GAUGAACGCUAGCUACAGGCUUAACACAUGCAAGUCGAGGGGCAGCAUGAACAUAGCUUGCUAUGUUUGAUGGCGACCGGCGCACGGGUGCGUAACACGUAUCCAAUCUACCCAUGGCUCGGGGAUAGCCUUUCGAAAGAAAGAUUAAUACCCGGUGAUCUCGGUUUAAGGCAUCUUAGACUGAGUAAAGAUUUAUCGGCGAUGGAUGAGGAUGCGUCUGAUUAGGUAGAUGGCGGGGUAACGGCCCACCAUGCCUACGAUCAGUAGGGGUUCUGAGAGGAAGGUCCCCCACAUUGGAACUGAGACACGGUCCAAACUCCUACGGGAGGCAGCAGUGAGGAAUAUUGGUCAAUGGACGAGAGUCUGAACCAGCCAAGUAGCGUGAAGGAUGACUGCCCUAUGGGUUGUAAACUUCUUUUGUUUGGGAAUAAAGUUCGGGACGUGUCCCGUUUUGUAUGUACCAUUCGAAUAAGCAUCGGCUAAUUCCGUGCCAGCAGCCGCCGUAAGAC
rnacentral:rRNA from 1 species